CGUCUAGAAAUUUUGGCUAUUGCUAUAAGGAACAUUGAUUUUUUAUGUGUUCAAUUUAUUUUUCAAAAAUAUUGUCUGAAAUAUUCGUUGAUUUUGAGUGUUAUGGGCUUUUAAGAAAACUAAGUGCUAUUGUGCUGGUAUGAAGAUAAUUUUUUACCAAAAAAAAAAUGCUGUCAAACUUGUAUUGUUUACUGAUAAUUUGGUGCAUAAAGUAUUUAGUUGGCAUAAUUUCUUUCUGAUAUUUUUGCUUUUUGACAUGGUUAUCUGUGCUUGUUUGUGUUUAACAACAAAAUGGCUGUACAAUUGUACACUUUCAUGUUAUUUUGCAUAAUGUUUACUUUUUAGGUACCAAUACAUCAUUUGUAAAGAAUUUUCAUUGAUAAUGUUGCUGAAAGUUCUUGGAUUAGAUUUAUGAAGAGUUUUUUUAAUUGAUGCAUUAUUUCUUUAAUAUUAGUUCUUGCAAAGGUUUAAUCUUCAUUUGUUUGUGUUUAAAAAAAUGCAGGUAACGGAUAAAAGAUUACCAUGCUAUAAAAACCCUGCAACACAUGAAAGUGGAUUACUGGUCGUGUACGUAAUUCCGGCCUGUACGUAAAAAAUCGGCCACCUGUGUUAAAUCAUUUUCAUGAUCUAAGCAUACACAUUUUGCUGAUUUUUAUUAAAAUCAACUUGAAAACCAACCCUUUUCUCAAUAUUUUGCAAAUUAAAGAAGCAUAUCACUGUGAACUUUUAUAUCAAAAUGUCACAAUUAUAGGACGAUGUUUUUGUCAUGUGGGAAAAGUGACAUCAUCAAUAUUUGUAUAACUUAUAUUUAUAUAAGAAACAAAUAUAUUUGUUAAAAUUGUUGUUAUUUUUUAUCUAAUAAACUUUAACUAAGGUAUUUUCAAUUAAUUGUAUAAAAACAUAUUCAAAACAUAAAAAUUAAGACCUAAUAUAUACUUUUUUAAUAUAUGAAUUACCUCCCUUGAUUAGAAUAAUAAUAGGUUAUUUGUUGUAAAAUUAAAUACAAGCGUUUACUAAAAAUCGACAAUGAAGUCAACUUUUUAUACAAAAUGUGUUUAAUUUCUUAGCUGUUUUAACUUUUUUUGAUAAAACAUAUUAAAAACAAAUAGAUUUUAGGUAUUUGCAGUUGCCAAUUGACAGUGCUUGUUUACUAUAUUUAUUAAGAUAGGUAGGGGGAGUAACUGGUAUAUAAUGUCGCAUAUAUUUUAAGUUUCAAGUGAAAAUUUUUAGUUUGUGUAAACCUUUAUUAAUACUCCUAAAAUGAGGACACUUGUCUAAAGAUAUUGCUUUGUAAUUUUACCUGCAGAUUAAACUAAAAGGUGGCCGAUUUUUUAGGUACAAUUGCCCUAUGAAAAUUGAUAGUUUAUAUGUCAUUAAUUUCUGUUCAUAAAAGUAACAUACACUGAUCUAAUUCUAUUGAAAUGUUCAUGCUAGAUGAGUUUUGAACCCAGGAUUAUAUAUGUGAAGUUUAGUUUCAACCAGUUGCCUAAAACAAAAGAUUUUGUUAAAAUAGUCCCAAAAAUGGCCUGAAUUACGUACACGACCAGUAUUGUAUGUAUAUACAUGUAUAUAUACUAGACACGUAACUUGUUGCUAUAGAUGAACUUAUAACAGACAAUUCAGUGCACAAAUCACAUGUAAGCAAAUAUACUGCAAAAGGACUACUUCAUUGCACUUAUAUUCAAUAAGUUGUUAUCAGUAUGAAUUAGCUUAAUGUAUCAGUAAAUUCACACCAGUUACCAACCUGGUCAGAGACUAGACGUCACAUUAUUCAUGAUUAUUGCCCAACCUGGUCAGAGACUAGAGGUUGCAUUAUUGCCCAACCUGGUAAGAGACUAGAGGUCACAUUAUUGCCCAACCUGGUCUGAUACUAGAGGUCACAUUAUUGCCCAACCUGGUCAGAGACUAGAGGUGGAUUAUUGCCCAACCUGGUAAGAGACUAGAGGUCACAUUAUUGCCCAACCUGGUUAGAGACUAGAGGUCACAUUAUUGCCCAACCUGGUCAGAGAUUAGAGGUCACAUUAUUGCCCAACCUGGUCAAAGACUAGAGGUCACAUUAUUGCCCAACCUGGUCAGAGACUAGAGGUCACAUUAUUGCCCAACCUGGUCAGAGACUAGAGGUCACAUUAUUGCCCAACCUGGUUAAAGACUAGAGGUCACAUUAUUGCCCAACCUGGUAAGAGACUAGAGGUCACAUUAUUGCCCAACCUGGUAAGAGACUAGAGGUCACAUUAUUGCCCAACCUGGUCAGAGAUUAGAGGUCACAUUAUUGCCCAACCUGGUCAGAGACUAUAGGUAACAAUAUUGCCCAACCUGGUCAGAGACUAGAGGUCACAUUAUUGCCCAACCUGGUCAGCGACUAGAGGUCUCAUUAUUGCCCAACCUGGUCAGAGACUAGAGGUCACAUUAUUGCCCAACCUGGUCAGAGACUAGAGGUCACAUUAUUGCCCAACCUGGUAAGUUACUAGAGGUCACAUUAUUGCCCAACCUGGUCAGAGACUAGAGGUCACAUUAUUGCCCAACCUGGUCAGAGACUAGAUGUCACAUUAUUGCCCAACCUGGUCAGAGACUAGAGGUCACAUUGCUCAACCUGGUCAAAGACUAGAGGUCACAUUAUUGCCCAACCUGGUCAGAGACCAGAGGUCACAUUAUUGCCCAACCUGGUCAGAUACUAGAGGUCACAUUAUUGCCCAACCUGGUCAAAGACUAGAGGUCACAUUAUUGCCCAACCUGGUCAGAGAAUAGAGGUCACAUUAUUACCCAACCUGGUCAGAGAUUAUAAGUAACACUAUUGCUCAAUCUGGUCAGAGAUUAGAGGUCACAUUAUUGUCCAACCUGGUCAGAGACUAGAGGUCACAUUAUUGCCCAGCCUGGUCAGAGACUAGAGGUCACAUUAUUGCCCAACCUGGUCAGAGACUAGAGGUUGCAUUAUUGCCCAACCUGGUCAGAGACUAGAGGUCACAUUAGUGCCCAACCUGGUCUGAUACUAGAGGUCACAUUAUUGCCCAACCUGGUCAAAGACUAGAGGGUCACAUUAUUGCCCAUCCUGGUCAGAGACUAGAGGUCACAUUAUUGCCCAACCUGGUCAAAGACUAGAGGUCACAUUAUUGCCCCGCCUGGUCAAAGAUUAGAGGUCACAUUAUUGCCCAACCUGGUCAGAGACUAGAGGUCACAUUAUUGCCCCACCUGGUCAGAGAUUAAAGGUAGCAAUAUUGCCCAACCUGGUCAGAGACUAGAGGUCACAUUAUUUCCCAACCUGGUCAAAGACUAGAGGUUACAUUAUUGCCGAACCUGGUCAGAGAUUAGAGGUCACAUUAUUGCCCAACCUGGUCAGAGACUAGAGGUCACAUUAUUGCCCAACCUGGUCAGAGACUAGAGGUCACAUUAUUGCCCCACCUUGUCAGAGAUUAAAGGUAACAAUAUUGCCCAACCUGGUCAGAGACUAGAGGUCACAUUAUUGCCCAACCUGGUCAAAGACUAGAGGUCACAUUAUUGCCGAACCUGGUCAGAGAUUAGAGGUCACAUUAUUGCCCAACCUGGUCAGAGACUAGAGGUCACAUUAUUGCCCAACCUGGUUAGAGACUAGAGGUCACAUUAUUGCCCCACCUUGUCAGAAAUUAGAGGUUACAUUAUUGCCCAACCUGGUCAGAGACUAGAUGUCACAUUAUUGCCCAACCUGGUCAGAGACUAGAGGUCACAUUAUUGCCCAACCUGGUCAGAACAUUUGCAGUGAAGAUAUCUCUGCUGAGUUUAUUAGAGAUAUUAGCAUUUUAUGAAUGCCAUUUUGAUCAAAAGCCCUACACUCAUGAAUCAUCAUAUAAAUUAUACAAACUAGAUUAAAACAUACAAGAAUAAAAAUUAAAAACUAACAAAAAACAUUUGUUAAAAUAAAUUACGGACAUGUUUUAAUGUCUUUCUUUACACAUGUGUAUAGUUUAGUUUUUUAAUAUGGUAUUUAUGCUAAAUAUACCAGUUAUAUUGUAAACUGUUGCUAAGCUACAAUGUACGUAUUUAUGUUUUUUGUUUUACAUGUACCUUUUGAAAUACAGACAAUAUACUGUUUUGUUUAAAUGCUUGUUUUAAACAAAUAAUAAUUAUUACACUUUUGUACAGUUUAAUUUAACAUCACUCUUAUUUACUUGGUAAUUUGUUUCAUCUGUGCCAUAGAUUUAAUCAGAAGUCAAAGAGAUUUUGCAAUUUGUUUUGCUGAGCCGCCCACUGUUUGACAGUAUAAACAAAACAACGACAUUCAUUUGACUGUAAAAUGUCACCUGAAUUUACAAACAUUUAACAAGGACUUAUGAAAAUUGUAUUUAUAUAUUUUGUAUGUAAAUUUGGUUUAUACUGUUUGCCACUUGGAUUAUUUUUUAAUUAGAACAUUAACAGCAUUUUUUUGCUGCUGAAUCUGUUGUUUUUUUCUAUCAAAUAGAUUUUGUUGAUCAUACUCAAAUUUAGUUAAAUUAUUUCAUAUUAAUAUAUAAAGGUAAUUUUAUAACAAAUAUUUUUUGUUUCAUUUUUCUUCUUUUCUUUUCACUUAUCACAAUCAUGCUUCAAACAUAUAUUUUGUUGGCAAUCAGCAUAUAGAAGAUGUUAUAUUGCCUUGUUAACUCUAUAGAGGCCACAUUUAUUGUCCAAUCUUCAUGAAAUUUGGUCAGUAGAUUGGUCUAAAUGAUAUCUUGGAUGAGUUCGAAAAUGGAAACGUUUGCUUGAAAAACAUGGCUGCCAAGGGGCGGGGCAUUUUUCCUUAUAUGGCUAUAUAUGGCUAUAGUAAAAUCUUGUUAACUCUCUAGAGGCCACAUUUGUUGUCCGAUCUUCAUGAAACUUGGUCAGAAGAUUCAUCCCAAUAAUAUCUUGGACGAGUUUGAAAAUGAUGCCAGUUUGUUGAAAAACAUGGCCGCCAAUGGGCGGGGCAUUUUUCCUUAUAUGGCUAUAGUAAAACCUUGUUAACACUCUAGAGGCUACAUUUAUUUUCCGAUCUUCAUGAAAUUUGCUCAGAAGAUUUGUCCCAAAGAUAUCUUGGAUGAGUUCAAAAAUGGUAACCUUUGCUUGAAAAACAUGGCUACCAAGGGGCGGGGCAUUUUUUCUAAUAUGGCUUUAUAUGGCUAUAGUAAAAUCUUCAUGAAACUUGGUCAGAAGAUUCAUCCUAAUAAUAUCUUGGACGAGUUCGAAAAUGAUGCCGGUUGGUUGAAAAACAUGGCUGCCAGGGGGUGGGGCAUUUUUCCUUAUAUGGCUUUAGUAAAACCUUGUUAACACUCUAGAGGCCACAUUUAUUUUCCAAUCUUCAUGAAACUUGGUCAGAAGAUUUGUCCCAAUAAUAUCUUGUUAUCUCAGGUGAGCGAUUUUGGGCCUUUCAGGCCCUCUUGUACUAAAACAAUAUUUCAACUAAGUUGAAAUAUGACUGAAUCUCAUACUAGUAUUUGAUUUGUGUUAUGUGACAGAGUGUUGAGUUAAUAUUUAAUUACAAGAGUCAAUUCUUCAACCAGUAUAAAGUGUUAACUCUUUCAGUGCUGGAACCGAAUUUUGAAGGCCUUUGCAAACAGUUUGGAUCCAGAUGAGACGCCACAAAACGUGGCGUCUCAUCAGGAUCCAAACUGUUUGCUAUUCUGAUAGUAUUCUUUGAAAAAAAUCGAAGAAAAUGCUAAUUUUAGAAAUUUAGCAGACGACAUUUUAGCAGACGACAAAUUUCCCAGCAUGCAAAGGGUUAAUGCAUAAUUUGCACACUGCACAUCCCAAGUCAUGUAAAGCUAUUGUAUGUAAUGUAAAGCUUAAAAUAAGAUUUAAAACAAGAUGUGUUUGUGAAACACAAUGUCCCCCUAUAUGAUGUUUGACCUUGAAGGAUGACCUUGACAUUGUGAAGGAUGACCUUGACCUUGACCUUUCACCACUCAAAAUGUGCAGCUCCAUGAGAUACACAUGCAUGCCAAAUAUCAAGUUGCUAUCUUCAAUAUUGCAAAUAUAUUCAUAAAAUAAGCGAUUUGGGCCACAUAUAUUUGAUCUCUGACCUUGAAGGAUGACCUUGACCUUGACCUUUCACCACUCAAAAUGUGCAGCUCCAUGACAUGCACAUGCAUGCCAAAUAUCAAGUUGCUAUCUUCAAUAUUGCAAAAGUAUUUAUAAAAUAAGCGAUUAGGGCCACAUUUAUUUGACCUCUGACCUUGAAGGAUGAUCUUGACCUUGACCUUUCACCACUCAAAAUGUGCAGCUCCAUGAGAUACACAUGCAUGCCAAAUAUCACGCUGCUAUCAUCAAUAUUGCAAAAGUAUUCAUAAAAUGAGCGAUUUUGGCCACAUAUAUUUGACCUCUGACCUUGAAGGAUGACCUUGACCUUGACCUUUCACCACUCAAAAUGUGCAGCUUCAUGAGAUACACAUGCAUGCCAAAUAUGAAGUUGCUAUCUUCAAUAUAGCAAAAGUUAUUGCAAAAUGUUAAAGUUGGCGCAAACAGACAGACCAACAGACCAACAGACAGACCAACAGACAGGGCAAAAACAAUAUGUCCCCCACUACUAUAGUGGGGGACAUAAAAACAACCCUAGAAAUAUUAAAACAAAUAUCUGUUUGAUUUGUUAUCAUGUUAAUAUAUAUGAUUGUGUAUUCAUGGUAUUGAUUAUUAAAUCUCUAAUUAUUUUGUGCAAUUAGGUACUGUUUCAUGUUUUUAUUAUUUUUUGAGUUUACAAACAGUUUUUUACUCUGUCAUGUAUAUAAAAUGUGCAUUGUUUGAAAUGAGGUUUGUUAAGAUAGGUCAUUAUAUUCAAACUUGCAUGACAAUUGGCGGUGAAUUUACACAUCUUUAUGUAAAAUGUGUGACAUUUGUCCCUUUGACAUAUGCAGUUUUUUUAAAAGGCACUACUGCUCUCAACAAUUUUAACACAUUAUUAAUGCUUGAGGUAUGAUAAACCAAAUCUGGGGUAUUAUCAUAGUUCCCUGUCUCCAAGAAGGCUCUAUGAAUGUUUAGCAAAUAAAAACAUCUAACUUACAGUAUGUUAAGAGAACAUUUUCAUUCAAUAUGUAUACUAUUUUAAAACAAAGUAAAUAAAAUAAAAAUAAUUAAAAUAUUAUAGUUUUACUUAUUUGCUGUUAUAAAACCAAUGUUUUUCACAAUUGCUUUAAGAUGUGAACUUUUUCAUAUGCCAAAUACUGCUUCAUAAUAUAGCAGUUCUGUAUAUGAGCUGCAUAAUGCGAAAAUGUGACAAAAGCAGCCAGUGUAGCUCCACAUAUCGGUAAGCCAUCAGCAUAGUCUGGUGAGGAGCUAGCCUGUCCACUAUAAAGUCCUACACAGUCUCCUGGUCGUUUUACCAAAGGCUGGUGUGGAGCUUAGCUUGCUGCAUGUCAUAAGACCCAUUUUCGCAUUACACAGCUUAUAUGUUUGAUAUCAAGAAAUUAAAGAUGAGAUAAAAUAGGUCAGAAACAUUAAUGUUGGCAUGAAUGCAGCAGUUCAUGCAGCUAAUUCUAAUUGUUACAAAAAUCAUUGAGCAUAGGAUACAUGUAGUAUUUUAUGUAUCUCAGAAUCCUAUACAGAAUUUACAAGUAAAGGACUACUCUAGGCUAAUACUUAGGAAAUUAAAUUUGAAGAAGGCUUUUAUAAAAUGAGUCGCGUACUGAGAAAACUGGGCAUAAUGCAUGUACGUAAAGUGUCGUCCCAGAUUAGCCUGUGCAGUCAGCACAGGCUAAUCAGGGACGACACUUUCCGUCUAAAUUGGAUUUUUGCUAAGAAGAGACUUUAUUUAAACGAAAAAUGUCAUAAAAGCGGAAAGUGUCUUCCCUGAUUAGCCUGUGCAGACUGCACAGGCUAAUCUGGGAUGAAACUUUACGCACAUGACUUAUAACCAGUUUUCUCAGAACACGACUCAAAUUAUCGGUAGCCUAUUGAUUGUAAGACAUGUGCAUAAUUGGAUGUGCUUGAGUAUCUAGAGUGACUGGGAUCAUGUGGUUUAUUACAAAGUUUUUGCUAUGAAACCAUUGUUGGUAUAUGUAACUCAUUAUUUGUACUAAAUGUAGCAGGCUAGAUUAUAGAUAUACUCUGGACUCUUCCAACUCAGUUUUUGUUAUUUCUUUCUUUCUUAUUUUUUGCAUUAAAAUAAACACUUUUUUGAAAACUACAA